rnacentral:rRNA from 1 species
GACGAACGCUGGCGGCGCGCCUAAAACAUGCAAGUCGAACGGGGUCCAACCAGUGGCAACACUGGGGAAGAUCUAGUGGCGAACGGGUGAGUACCACGUGAGGAACCUGCCCCGGAGACCGGGACUAAGCCUUCGAAAGGAGGUCUAAUACCGGAUAUCUUCAUCUGGCCGCAUGACCGGAUGAAGAAAUGGAUUCCGCUCUGGGAUGGCCUCGCGGCCUAUCAGCUUGNGGGUUGGGGUAACGGGCCCACCCAAGGCAUCGACGGGUAGCUGGUCUGAGAGGACGAUCAGCC